rnacentral:rRNA from 1 species
GACGAACGCUGGCGGCGUGCUUAACACAUGCAAGUCGAACGGAAAGGCCCUGCUUUUGUGGGGUGCUCGAGUGGCGAACGGGUGAGUAACACGUGAGUAACCUGCCCUUGACUUUGUGAUAACUUCAGGAAACUGGGGCUAAUACCGGAUAGGAGCUCCUGCUGCAUGGUGGGGGUUGGAAAGUUUCGGCGGUUGGGGAUAGACUCGCGGCUUAUCAGCUUGUUGGGGGGGUAGUGGCUUACCAAGGCUUUGACGGGUAGCCGGCCUGAGAGGGUGACCAGCCACAUUGGGACUGAGAUACGGCCCAGACUCCUACGGGAGGCAGCAGUGGGGAAUAUUGCACAAUGGGCGGAAGCCUGAUGCAGCAACGCCGCGUGCGGGAUGACGGCCUUCGGGUUGUAAACCGCUUUCGCCUGUGACGAAGCGUGAGUGACGGUAAUGGGUAAAGAAGCACCGGCUAACUACGUG